rnacentral:rRNA from 1 species
CCUUCAUAGAGUUUGAUCCUGGCUCAGAUUGAACGCUGGCGGCAGGCCUAACACAUGCAAGUCGAGCGGAAACGACUUAACUGAACCUUCGGGGAACGUUAAGGGCGUCGAGCGGCGGACGGGUGAGUAAUGCCUGGGAAUAUGCCUUGAUGUGGGGGAUAACCAUUGGAAACGAUGGCUAAUACCGCAUAAUCUCUUCGGAGCAAAGAGGGGGACCUUCGGGCCUCUCGCGUCAAGAUUAGCCCAGGUGGGAUUAGCUAGUUGGUGAGGUAAUGGCUCACCAAGGCGACGAUCCCUAGCUGGUCUGAGAGGAUGAUCAGCCACACUGGAACUGAGACACGGUCCAGACUCCUACGGGAGGCAGCAGUGGGGAAUAUUGCACAAUGGGCGCAAGCCUGAUGCAGCCAUGCCGCGUGUGUGAAGAAGGCCUUCGGGUUGUAAAGCACUUUCAGUCGUGAGGAAGGUGGUGU